rnacentral:rRNA from 1 species
CAGCAGUUCAAGUGGUCAGGAUGAUUAUUGGGCCUAAAGCAUCCGUAGCCGGCGCUGUAAGUUUUCGGUUAAAUCUGUACGCUCAACGUACAGGCUGCCGGGAAUACUGCAGCGCUAGGGAGUGGGAGAGGUAGACGGUACUCGGUAGGAAGGGGUAAAAUCCUUUGAUCUAUUGAUGACCACCUGUGGCGAAGGCGGUCUACCAGAACACGUCCGACGGUGAGGGAUGAAAGCUGGGGGAGCAAACCGGAUUAGAGACCCGAGUAGUCC